CCUACGGGAGGCAGCAGUGAGGAAUAUUUGUCAAUGGCCGUAAGGCUGAACCAGCCAAGUCGCGUGAAGGAAGAAGGCUCUAUGGUUUGUAAACUUCUUUUAUAGGGGAAUAAAGGUAUCCACGUGCGGAUUUUUGCAUGUACCCUUUGAAUAAGCACCGGCUAACUCUGCGUAAGCCGCUGCGGUAAUCCGGAGGAUCUGAGUGUUAUCCGGAUCUAUGGGGUUUAAAGGGGGCGUAGAUGGGUUGUUAAGGCAGUUGUAAAAGUUUGCGGCUCAACCGUAAAAUUGCAAUUGAUACUGGCAGGCUUGAGUACAGUUGAGGUAGGCGGAAUUCGUGGUGUAGCGGUGAAAUGCUUAGAUAUCACGAAGAACUCCGAUUGCGAAGGCAGCUUACUAAGCUGCCACUGACAUUGAUGCUCGAAAGUGUAGGUAUCAAACAGGAUUAGAUACCCUGGUAGUC
rnacentral:rRNA from 1 species